AUACGUAGGUGGCGAGCGUUGUCCGGAAUUACUGGGCGUAAAGGAUGCGUAGGUGGAUACUUAAGUGGGAUGUGAAAUCCCCGGGCUCAACCCGGGAACUGCAUUCCAAACUGGGUAUCUAGAGUGCAGGAGAGGAAAGCGGAAUUCCUAGUGUAGCGGUGAAAUGCGUAGAUAUUGGGAGGAACACCAGUGGCGAAGGCGGCUUUCUGGACUGUAACGGACACUGAGGCAUGAAAGCGUGGGUAGCAAACAGGAUUAGAUACCCUGGUAGUCCACGCCGUAAACGAUGGGUACUAGGUGUAGGAGGUAUCGACCCCUUCUGUGCCGUCGUUAACACAAUAAGUACCCCGCCUGGGGAGUACGGUCGCAAGACUAAAACUCAAAGGAAUUGACGGGG
rnacentral:rRNA from 1 species